rnacentral:lncRNA from 1 species
AAUCAUGAUGAAGAUCUACCCGCGUAAGGUGAAAAUUAGAUCUUCCUUUUUACUUUUAUUUUUUUCUUAAUCUUAACUAUAAGAGAUCCUGAAUUUUGAGAUGCAAUCUCAUGCUUGCAUGCAUAAAUUAAUCUGAUUUUAUUCUGCUACAUUUUAAGUUUUAAUCUUGCAUGCUAUCGAAUUUCUUCAAGUCAUAAAUCGGUGUUUCGGGAC